CCUACGGGUGGCUGCAGUGAGGAAUAUUGGUCAAUGGCCGAGAGGCUGAACCAGCCAAGUCGCGUGAGGGAAGACGGCCCUACGGUUUGUAAACCUCUUUUGUCGUGGAGCCAAGAGAGUCACGUGUGACUCAUUGAGAGUCCCCGAAGAAAAAGCAUCGGCUAACUCCGUGCAAGCAGCCGCGGUAAUACGGAGGAUGCGAGCGUUAUCCGGAUUUAGUGGGUUAAAAGGGUGCGCGGGGGGAUGUGCAAGUCAGCGGUAAAAUUGCGGGGCUCAACCCCGUACUGCCGUUGAAACUGCAUACGGUGAGUGAGCGAGAAGUAGGCGGAAUGCGUGGUGUAGCGGUGAAAUGCAUAGAGAGCACGCAGAACUCCGAUUGCGAAGGCAGCAUACCGGCGCGCAACUGACGCUCAUGCACGAAAGCGUGGGUAUCGAACAGGAUUAGAUACCCUAGUAGUC
rnacentral:rRNA from 1 species